UACGUAGGGGGCUAGCGUUGUCCGGAAUCAUUGGGCGUAAAGCGCGUGUAGGCGGUCCGGUAAGUCCGCUGUGAAAGUCGGGGGCUCAACCCUCGAAUGCCGGUGGAUACUGUCGGGCUAGAGUGCGGAAGAGGCGAGUGGAAUUCCUGGUGUAGCGGUGAAAUGCGCAGAUAUCAGGAGGAACACCGAUGGCGAAGGCAGGUCUCUGGGCCGCAACUGACGCUGAGGAGCGAAAGCAUGGGGAGCGAACAGG
rnacentral:rRNA from 1 species